UACGGAGGUGCGAGCGUUGUCCGGAAUCACUGGGCGUAAAGGGCGCGUAGGUGGCUCGUGAAGCGUGCGGUGAAAGUCCGAGGCUCAACCUCGGAUCGGCCGUGCGGACUCGCGGGCUCGAGCGUUGUAGAGGCGGGUGGAAUUCCGGUGGUAGCGGUGGAAUGCGUAGAGAUCCGGAAGAACACCGGUGGCGAAGGCGGCCCGCUGGGCAACUGCUGACACUGGAUGCGCGACAGCGUGGGAGCAAACAGG
rnacentral:rRNA from 1 species